rnacentral:lncRNA from 1 species
UGUUAUUACAAGUGUGAAUAUAUUACACAAGUCACCUGAAAGUACUUUUAAAAGGAAAACAAAGUCAACAUAUGAACUUUUAACAAAUAUAAUCAGAAAUUAUAUACUGUCAAAACUUUCUACAAACGAUGACUACUGACUCAACUAUGGAUCUGUCCUUAUUUUCUUUCUUUCUUUUGGUUAUACAUAAAAUAAUUAAGAACAAACACACAAAAAAUAAAUAAUAAUAAUAAUAUAACAAUAAUAAAGUCUAAAGAUCAUAUAUCAUGUGAAGCUAAACGCUAAAAGCCACCUCGAAACAGAGAAAAUGGAUAAGGCGGUGUUGUUGGUGGAUUUGACUCUACCACUCCUCCAAACGUCGCCGUUUCUUUAUACCUUCUUUCUCCCUGAAUACUCCCACAUCCUCCUCCUCCUCCUCCGUUAACACUCUCCGGCAAAGAAAACGUCGACGUCAAAGAUGAUGACGUCGACGACGUUGAAUUCGAGAGCAUCGACUUCGCCACCAAACCCGUCUCGUAACUACCAAACUGUCCUUGCGUCAUAGGAACAAUCCACCCAUCCGGUGAAUGAUUCCGGUAAAGAUUCUCCGUUGAUGACGGCGACGGUGUUGAUGAUGACAUAACCCUAAAGACCCUCCCUUCAUCUUCUUCCACUUCUUCUUCCUCUGACUUCACCGUCGACAUCGUGACACGACGCUUCUUCUUGUCGGAAACUUGUUGUUGUUGCUUUGUCCGUUCUUUCUCGAGCAUCAUUCUUGGAAGAAGAUCAGGAUCUUCAACGACUUUGUAAAGAAACGCCAUCAUCUGCUCCGGUCUCUUCUCCGUCGCUUCGAUCCUCCGGUUCAUCCUCUGAAUCUCUGCCUCUAGCUCCCUCUGCUCUUCUUUUAACCGUUCGAUCUCCCUCACAAUCUCACCGUCCUCCAAAUCUUGACCGUACAUCCCCCGCGCGUGUUUCCUACGCGCUAUGUUAUUCAACAAAUGCUUCUGUCCCCUUAGAAAAUGCUCGUUCGCAAACUCCCACCGGUCCGGAUCCACUUUCCUAAACCCCUAAAGUAAAUAAAGAAAGGAUCAUUAGUUCGUAAUCCCCUGUUUCCAGUUUCAUGUAAGAUUCGUUGCGAGAAGUCGAGUGGAUCAACGACUAUGAAACUGUUGUGAGCAGGUCCCCAAGUGAUGAGCCAAUCGGUGGAAGGAUCAUUGACCAUCUGAUAUGUUUUCACGAUGAAAGGUGCGAUCACGUUGUUGUUGUUGUUGUUGUUACUAUUGUCGUCCUCCAUCUCUCUCUUUCUCUGUUUUCCUUAUGGUUUAUAUGUUUGUUGUUGGUGGUGGUAAAGAAAUUAAAGAGGAGCCUGGAGGGUUUAUAUAAAGAUAGGAAAAUGAGAUGUGAAAAUAGUAAGUUAAGUGUAGUUGACAGUGAGACUAUAUUGACGUGGCUUGCUUUUUGUGAUAACGUGGCGGGUUCGUGUUUUGCCUUUUACGGUGUCACGAGUGAACUGUGGGACCUAUGCAGGUGUGCCUCUAAGCUUUCAGGUGCCACAAAGCCUUAGGUCAAUUAGCUUUUCUUAGAUGGCAAGUUAUUAGUCCGAGCCGUUGUGUAUUUGUGUGAGAUGUUUUCAAGAGACGACGAGCGUGUGGGUGCUUGGAUACUGACAUGGUCCGCACUGGUUAGUGACGGAGGAACUCAGGAACAAGUACUGAUUCGACACGUUGCGUAGAAUCUUUUUUGUUGGCGAUGCACACUCCACUAAUCGAGUAUUUUUGUAUUUAUGGAAAGUUUAUUCAUUAUACGUUGCUUAAUUCAGGUAUACGACGAACAUGAUUUUUCAUUUUUAUUAUAGUGUCACACAAAUAUUAUAGGAAACUGAUGUCGUACGG